UACGUAGGGUGCAAGCGUUGUCCGGAAUUAUUGGGCGUAAAGAGCUCGUAGGCGGUUCGGCAAGUCGGAUGUGAAAUCUCCACGCUUAACGUGGAGGGGCCAUUCGAAACUGCUGUGACUCGAGUCCGGUAGGGGAGUGUGGAAUUCCCGGUGUAGCGGUGAAAUGCGCAGAUAUCGGGAGGAACACCAGUAGCGAAGGCGGCACUCUGGGCCGGUACUGACGCUGAGGAGCGAAAGCGUGGGGAGCGAACAGG
rnacentral:rRNA from 1 species